GGUCUUGUGGUCUAGUGGUAUGAUUCUCGCUUAGGGUUCACCCUGAGUUAAUAUGCGAGAGGCCCCGCGUUCGAGUCGCGGCAAGACCC